rnacentral:hammerhead_ribozyme from 1 species
AUCCAGAUGAUGAGUCCGAAAUAGGACGAAAUCCGCAUCCUGGGU